UGUAAAAUAAGAAGGUAAAAUAGAUAAAAUAGAUUUUUGUGGUGUCAAAUAGUUAAAUUUAUAACUCCCCCAAUUUGGAUACUCUAACUAGCCAAUCAUUCAUUUCCUUAGUAACCACUUUAGGUAUAUGUGCACUUGUUCGAUUGCACUCGGGUUUGAAGAUUGGAAAAGUGCAAAAAUUAUUGGGUAAUCACCCUUUAAAUAUCACUUUGUUCUUCAACACUAGCGUGACAAUUUUAUAAUGGUGCUUAUUGAUUUUCUGGAUCAUAGUUGAUGAUGCCGAAAAAUCACCAAUGAGCCACAUAGUCCUCGCACACUCGAAGCAAGACCUGCACAACAAAAAGAGAAGACCUAAGAGAGAGCACCAGUGUAGUGCCGGCCAAACACUCUCCAAAGGUCAAGUUAGAACUAUUCUCACAAUUCUAGAGUGCUAGAGAGGGGUAAAUUAUGCGUACCUUUUUCUUGAGGGUCUUUGGGUUUUUAUAGUUACAUAGGGCCAAACUUCAAGACUUGCGGAACAAGUCUUUUCCUUAUAAGGAAGAUACUCAUUAAUACACGUAUAUUCUAGAAUUCUAGUUGUAUCGGAAUUCCAUUUGUGUUGGGACUCUAUGAAUCAGGGCUAAUCAUGUGUCACAAAUAUUUACCAUUUAAGGUUCCUUGGAGACUACAUGAUAAUGAGUUGGAUGCCACAUGGCUGCUCGAUCUAUCCAUGCUACGCCCGUCCUAACGUGGUCCAUCCAAUGCGAGUACAUUCUUCCUACGUCAAGUCCGUCGAGACGGUUCCAUCAUGUUUAAUUUUUCCUCUUCAGUUGCCCCCUUCACCCUAUGGGUUCGUAAUAUUUGAGUGGAAGGACCUGUGGGGUCACAGUUCGAUCGAGAUCCUUAAACUUGUUAGGCUGGCCUGAAAUCAUUUAUUGUACAGGACACGUGGCGUUCGUUGAAUGGCCAUUCUCUUGGAUCGAAGUGUCGCUUUGCCUUCCGUGCUAUCUCUCUAUAUAAACCAACCCUCCUCCCUCUCAUUUUUUACUUUUCUGCUGAAAUCUACGAUCAGAACACAUCUAUCAUCCUUGCUAGACAGACGAGACCGUCCAGCCGUUUUACCCGUUGCUGUAGCCCUUCUCAGUCCGUCUUACUAUUUUGAUGAGUAUUUCUCUCCUUCCACUUAUAAAAUUUCUUCUUUUUAUACUUUAAAUUUGCAUUACCGUCAUCCACUACAGACACAUCAGAGUCUUAGGAUUAACUGUCACACAUAAGUCUUGUCUAUUGCGUCAAGUCACUAGUUAUUUGUCCGUGAUGGGGCGGGCUAUGAGGAAGUGUACCCGUCAAGUCACGAAGACCAUGAUAGUCAGAGUGACGAGAGGAGCCCGUCUGCUUCUUCUCCAUCCUCAAGGAAUGAGGGUUUGAAAGUGAGUGAUGAAGAGGGUUCUAAUGACGGACCAGAAAAUAAUGACCUCCAAAUUCAGUCCGUUGUGGGUCUUGAUGGACUUAGGCAGUUCGUCAUGCUACCCGAGUGGUUAGUAAAUCACUUCACUUCCUCAAUUAAAGAAAGACACUUCAAAACAUUUAGAGCCCAUUUUCAAAUACCAGAUAACAUUUCCGUUCGUCUGCUCUACAAAUCAGAGAAAUGUUAUUAUGAAGGUUUGGAAGGUGCCGGAGUAUAUGAGCAGAUGUUGAAGGCUGGGCUCAAGUUUCCCUUGAGUUCCCUUCAUCGUGAGCUACUUCAACACUUAGGCCUGUCCGUCAACUAGGUAUCUCCAAAUACCUAAAAGGUCCUCCUAACAGUGGAGGUCCUGUAUGGGAUUAUGUCGGAUGGCACUAAGAGGUUAACGGUACGAGAAUUCCUUAACUGUUACCAUCCAAAUGAGAUAGAUAAAUCAAGGGGCAUGUAUAGCUUUGCACCUAGGAGCCCGUUGUUGAGGCUUAUGUACAAGACCCUAGACUCCAAUAGGAACUGGAAGAGUCGUUAUUUCUUCCUAGAGGGGAAUGAAUGGAUGGGCUGUCCAGGGGACACAGAGUUUAUGCCUGUCGACACAACUUGGGGCAUAUUGAAUUCGUCUGUUCAAUGGCGUCCACAGAUUACUCUUGAGCAGUGGAGCUUCCUAGAAAGUAUUUUUAAUAAGACCAAGCUGAAGGAGAGGACUUGGGCUAAAUUAGUUACGUUAAACACUCUUAAUUGGUAUUAUGAUGGACCAAAGCCUACCCCUGAGGCCAUUAGAUACGACAUUUGAGUGUGCCAACAAAUGGAUGCUGCCAAGAGGAGAGCUAUGAUUAAGGCAUAGGCUGCCAAGAAGGUAGAGUACGGUAGUCAGGUGCCAAAAGGGACGGGCCCAAACAACCCGUCCACUAAGAGGAAAACUUCAACCAAACAAGACCGUGUACCCAAGAAGCCCAAGAUUCCUUCAGAUACCGUCGUGGGGCUGGAGGCGGAAGGGAUGAAGACGGUUACCCCGGCUAAGCAUGGAGUCGGAAAAGGCUUAAU